rnacentral:rRNA from 1 species
UAGGGAAUCUUCCGCAAUGGGCGAAAGUCUGACGGAGCAACGCCGCGUGAGUGAUGAAGGUUUUCGGAUCGUAAAACUCUGUUGUCAGGGAAGAACAAGUACGAUAGUAACUGAUCGUACCUUGACGGUACCUGACCAGAAAGCCACGGCUAACUACGUGCCAGCAGCCGCGGUAAUACGUAGGUGGCAAGCGUUGUCCGGAAUUAUUGGGCGUAAAGCGCUCGCAGGCGGUUCUUUAAGUCUGAUGUGAAAUCUUGCGGCUCAACCGCAAACGUGCAUUGGAAACUGGAGGACUUGAGUGCAGAAGAGGAGAGUGGAAUUCCACGUGUAGCGGUGAAAUGCGUAGAGAUGUGGAGGAACACCAGUGGCGAAGGCGACUCUCUGGUCUGUAACUGACGCUGAGGAGCGAAAGCGUGGGGAGCGAACAGG